AACGAACGCUGGCGGCAGGCCUAAAACAUGCAAGUCGAGCGGGCAUAGCAAUAUGUCAGCGGCGGACGGGUGAAUAACACGUGGGAACAUGCCCUUUGGUACGGAACAACUCAGGGAAACUUGAGCUAAUACCGUAUGUGCCGGUAACGGGAAAGAUUUAUCGCCAAAGGAUUGGCCCGCGUCCGAUUAGCUAGUUGGUGAGGUAACGGCUCACCAAGGCGACGAUCGGUAGCUGGUUUGAGAGAACGAUCAGCCACACUGGGACUGAGACACGGCCCAGACUCCUACGGGAGGCAGCAGUUGGGAAUCUUGGACAAUGGGGGAAACCCGGUACGAUCCACGCCACUGCCGCCGUGAGCGAUGAAGG
rnacentral:rRNA from 1 species